GAUGAACGCUGGCGGCGUGCUUAACACAUGCAAGUCGAACGAGAAGUGAAGACGGAAACCUUCGGGCGGAAGGCUUUAUUUCGAGUGGCGGACGGGUGAGUAACGCGUGGGUAACCUGCCUCAUACAGGGGGAUAACAGUUGGAAACGACUGUUAAUACCGCAUAAGACCACAGCACCGCAUGGUGCGGGGGUAAAAACUCCGGUGGUAUGAGAUGGACCCGCGUUCGAUUAGCCAGUUGGCGGGGUAACGGCCCACCAAAGCGACGAUCGAUAGCCGAUCUGAGAGGAUGACCGGCCACAUUGGGACUGAGACACGGCCCAAACUCCUACGGGAGGCAGCAGUGGGGAAUAUUGCACAAUGGGGGAAACCCUGAUGCAGCGACGCCGCGUGAGUGAAGAAGUAUUUCGGUAUGUAAAGCUCUAUCGGCAGGGAAGAAAAUGACGGUACCUGAGUAAGAAGCCCCGGCUAACUACGU
rnacentral:rRNA from 1 species